CCGCGGCCCCGCCCCCGCGCGGGUACCUCCCCCUUCCCCGGCUGGGGCGGCUGAAGAGCCGGGAGUCGCUGGGUGCGUGGGGCUGCCUCGCCGCGCCUCGCCACGGGCUCUGCCAGCAGACAGCCUUGGCACACAGGCACAAGGGCUGGAGCCCAGAGAUGAGAGUGCCCAAGGGAGAUGUGAGCCUGGCGGGCUGCCCGCUAACCUGUCGCUGAAGCCCCAGAAGCGGGCCCUCAGGCCAGGCCUACCCCGCCUCCGGCCCAGCAUGCGCCUGUCGGUGCGGAGGGUGCUGCUGGCAGCCGGCUGCGCCCUGGUCCUGGUGCUGGCGGUUCAGCUGGGACAGCAGGUGCUAGAGUGCCGGGCGGUGCUGGCGGGCCUGCGGAGCCACCGGGGGGCCAUGCGGCCGGAGCAGGAGGAGCUGGUGAUGGUGGGCACCAACCACGUGGAAUACCGCUACGGCAAGGCCAUGCCGCUCAUCUUCGUGGGUGGCGUGCCUCGCAGUGGCACCACGUUGAUGCGCGCCAUGCUGGAUGCCCACCCCGAGGUGCGCUGCGGCGAGGAGACCCGCAUCAUCCCGCGCGUGCUGGCCAUGCGCCAGGCCUGGUCCAAGUCUGGCCGUGAGAAGCUGCGGCUGGACGAGGCGGGGGUGACGGAUGAAGUGCUGGACGCCGCCAUGCAGGCCUUCAUCCUGGAGGUGAUUGCCAAGCACGGAGAGCCGGCCCGCGUGCUCUGCAACAAGGACCCAUUUACGCUCAAGUCCUCGGUGUACCUGUCGCGCCUGUUCCCCAACUCCAAGUUCCUGCUGAUGGUGCGGGACGGCCGGGCCUCCGUGCACUCCAUGAUCACGCGCAAAGUCACCAUCGCGGGCUUUGACCUCAGCAGCUACCGUGACUGCCUCACCAAGUGGAACAAGGCCAUCGAGGUGAUGUACGCCCAGUGCAUGGAGGUGGGCAAGGAGAAGUGCCUGCCUGUGUACUACGAGCAGCUGGUGCUGCACCCCAGGCGCUCACUCAAGCUCAUCCUCGACUUCCUCGGCAUCGCCUGGAGCGACGCUGUCCUCCACCACGAAGACCUCAUUGGCAAGCCCGGUGGUGUCUCCCUGUCCAAGAUCGAGCGGUCCACGGACCAGGUCAUCAAGCCUGUUAACCUGGAAGCACUCUCCAAGUGGAUUGGCCACAUCCCUGGGGAUGUGGUGCGGGACAUGGCCCAGAUCGCCCCCAUGCUGGCUCAGCUCGGCUAUGACCCUUAUGCAAACCCCCCCAACUAUGGCAACCCUGACCCCUUCGUCAUCAACAACACACAGCGGGUCUUGAAAGGGGACUAUAAAACACCAGCCAAUCUGAAAGGAUAUUUUCAGGUGAACCAGAACAGCACCUCCUCCCACUUAGGAAGCUCGUGAUUUCCAGAAGAGAAAACCAAAGCACAGAGAAGGAAGGGCUUUGACUUGCCCAAGGCUACACAGCCACCAAGGGACAGAAUUCCUCCCAGAUCUCCGCAAAUGACUUCAUUGCCAAGAAGAGAAGAAACUGCAUUUAAUUGGAAAUCGGACCUCUAAUCCAAGCAUAUUGCUUGCUAUUAAUCGCCAAAACAGGACUGCUGAUGAGGAAUGUAUUUGCAUAUGUUUGCAAAAGCUGAAUCAUUGAAAACGUACCUUGAAACUCUCUAUCUCUGGACACUCCAGGGUAGAGAAUGAAGGGUAUGGAAGUAGUCCGGCUUUUGAAACUUAGGUAUUUUAUAUUUUUCCCCUCAAGAACUUUUUUUUAAGAGACAGAUUUGCCAUCCUCCUUAAUUUGCAGGACUGCCUUGGUGGCUUUGUUUGCUGGGACAAGGCCCACAACCUGUGCCUCUCCUAUUGACCCUUACUUUGAAUUCAAAGAAUCUAUUUAAGAGUUUAAUAUAUGAGGCUUUCUUUGAUUCCUCCUCAGUUCUACCUAGUUUCAGAGAGAAAAAAAAUACUCUUUGAAUAAAGUGAACAGAGGCUCA